ACUCGUAACCGGCGCUACCCCUGGCGUUCGUGGGGCUCCCGGGGAUGGGCGCUCUGGUCACGGCACGGAUGCGCAGGGAUCCAGAGCGGGGGCCCAGGACUGCCUGCGGUGGGGGCCGGCCGCGCGCGCCGGGUGUCCGGAGUCCGGUCGGAGCUGCUGCGUCACCCGGGCAGCUAGAGAACUAUUGGGCAACCUAGUCGCCUCCCGCUGCGAUCUUUGCCUGGGCGACCAGCGACUAAGUCUCCUCCCGGGCGGGGCUUUAGUGAAAGAGAGAAAAUAGAGUUCGAGCUGCUGACCUCCCAGGACGCUCCUUGAUUCGUGUGUGGGUGGCCCAUGCCUGGUUCAUAAAAGAACUUUUACAACUGUGCCUGCCUAGAUCGCUCCCUGGAAUGCGGGUGGAAGGGUGCCGUGCGGAAUCGGAACUGGAGGGGCGUUGGUAACUGGAUCUAAGGUGCUGCAGCUUAGUUGACAGUUACUGUCAUUACUGUAUCCGCAGGCCUCAGUAUGUCGAAGCAGAAUCUCUUCAAGCGUGGUGAUGUAGCAAUCUAUGUACGGUUUUCAAUUUUGUUUUUAUUAUGCUUUUUGGUUUUGAAAGAGCGUUUUAUUAUGUAGCCCAGGGUGGCCUCAGGGUGAUCCUUCGAAGUUUAGGCAUUACAGGCAGGCGUGUGCCAUCACCACAAGGCUGACUGUUUUUGCAAGGAUUUGGAACUUUGUUUGCUUACUUGUUUUUAAAUCAAAAUUCUUUCUGAUUUCAUUACCUGGCCUGCAAAUAAAAGAUUCUUUAAA
rnacentral:lncRNA from 1 species